rnacentral:rRNA from 1 species
AACGAACGCUGGCGGCAUGCCUAACACAUGCAAGUCGAACGAGACCUUCGGGUCUAGUGGCGCAUGGGUGCGUCACGCGUGGGAAGCUGCCCAUAUGUUCGGCAUACCUCUCCGAAAGGGGUGCUAAUACCGGAUAAUGUCUUAGGACCAAAGAUUUCUGGCGUUUGGUUGGGCGCGAGUUGGAUUCGCUAGUUGGUAGGGUUAAAGCCUAUUACGGGGUGAAUUCAUAGGUUGUUUGAGAGAAUGAUUAGCCACACUUGGAGUGAGACACGGCCCAGAAUCCUACGGGAGGGAGCAGUGGGGAAUAGUGGAAAGUGGGGGGAAGCCUGAUGCAGCAAGGCCCGGUGAGUUAUGAAAUCCUGAGAGAUGUAAAGCGCUUGUAACCGGGAAGAUAAUGACAGUACCGGGAGAAUAAGCCCCGGCUAACUACGUG